CGUUUGACUGUCCAUCUUAUAUGAAAUUUUUUUUUAUGAUUACUAUUUUCAUUGUUGUUAGAUGAUAAAACAAGAAUAAUAUUUUAUGCAUGAUUUAUCUUUUUAUUUUUUUUAUAAUUUUUUUAAAUAAGACGGAUGGUCAAAUG
rnacentral:pre_miRNA from 1 species